GCUGGCGUAGCUCAAUUGGCAGAGCACCUGAUUUGUAAUCAGGCGGUUGGGGGUUCGAGUCCCCCCGUCAGCU
rfam:Gemmatirosa kalamazoonesis strain KBS708, complete genome.